rnacentral:rRNA from 1 species
GAUGAACGCUAGCUACAGGCUAACACAUGCAAGUCGAGGGGAAACGAUGGAGAAAGCUUGCUUUUUCUAGGCGUCGACCGGCGCACGGGUGAGUAACGCGUAUCCAACCUGCCCACCACUUGGGGAUAACCUUGCGAAAGUAAGACUAAUACCCAAUGAUAUCUCAAGAAGACAUCUGAAUGAGAUUAAAGAUUUAUCGGUGAUGGAUGGGGAUGCGUCUGAUUAGCUUGUUGGCGGGGUAACGGCCACCCAAGGCGAAGAGAAGUAGGGGUUUUGGGAGAAAUGUCCCCCACAUUGGAUCUGAGAACCGGUCCAAACUCCUACGGGGGGCAGGAGGGAGGAAUAUUGGUCAAGGGGGGAGGGCCUAAACCAGCCAAGUCGCGUGCAGGAUGCCGGCCUUAUGGUUUGUAAACUACUUUUAUAAGGGAAUAAAGUGAGUCUCGUGAGAUUUUUUGCAUGUACCUUAUGAAUAAGGACCGGCUAAUUCCGUGCCAGCCGCCGCGGUAA